rnacentral:rRNA from 1 species
CCUACGGGAGGCAGCAGUAGGGAAUCUUCCACAAUGGACGAAAGUCUGAUGGAGCAACGCCGCGUGAGUGAAGAAGGGUUUCGGCUCGUAAAGCUCUGUUGGGAGUGAAGAAAGAUAGAGGUAGGAACUGGCCUUUAUUUGACGGUAAUUACUUAGAAAGUCACGGCUAACUACGUGCCAGCAGCCGCGGUAAUACGUAGGUGGCAAGCGUUGUCAGGAUUUAUUGGGCGUAAAGCGAGUGCAGGCGGUUUAAGAA